UACAGAGGUCUCAAGCGUUGUUCGGAUUCAUUGGCGUAAAGAGCGUGUAGGCGGCCAGAUAAGUCCGCUGUGAAAUCUCGAGGCUCAACUUCGAGCUGUCGGUGGAAACUAUCUGGCUAGAGUCCGGAAGAGGAGAAUGGAAUUCCUGGUGUAGCGGUGAAAUGCGCAGAUAUCAGGAAGAACACCCGUGGCGAAGGCGGUUCUCUGGGACGGUACUGACGCUGAGACGCGAAAGCGUGGGGAGCGAACAGG
rnacentral:rRNA from 1 species